GACGAACGCUGGCGGCGUGCCUAAUACAUGCAAGUAGAACGCUGAAGGAGGAGCUUGCUCUUCUGGAUGAGUUGCGAACGGGUGAGUAACGCGUAGGUAACCUGCCUGGUAGCGGGGGAUAACUAUUGGAAACGAUAGCUAAUACCGCAUAACAGUAGAUGUUGCAUGACAUUUACUUAAAAGGUGCAAUUGCAUCACUACCAGAUGGACCUGCGUUGUAUUAGCUAGUUGGUGGGGUAACGGCUCACCAAGGCGACGAUACAUAGCCGACCUGAGAGGGGGAUCGGCCACACUGGGACUGAGACACGGCCCAGACUCCUACGGGAGGCAGCAGUAGGGAAUCUUCGGCAAUGGACGGAAGUCUGACCGAGCAACGCCGCGUGAGUGAAGAAGGUUUUCGGAUCGUAAAGCUCGGUUGUAAGAGAAGAACGAGUGUGAGAGUGGAAAGUUCACACUGUGACGGUAUCUUAACAGAAAGGGACGGCUAACUACGUG
rnacentral:rRNA from 1 species